CCCUUAGAUGUUCUGGGCCGCACGCGCGCUACACUGAUGCAUUCAACGAGUCUAAAACCUGCUCUGAUAGGGGUGGGUAAUCUUUUGAAUGUGCAUCGUGAUUGGGAUAGAUGAUUGCAAUUUUUCAUCUUCAACGAGGAAUGCCUAGUAAACGCAAGUCAUCAGCUUGCAUUGAUUACGUCCCUGCCCUUUGUACACACCGCCCGUCGCUCCUACCGAUUGAAUGAUCCGAUGAAUAUCAUGGAUUGAGGAUGCAAGUAGGUUCGCCUAUCUUCAUCUUCGAGAAGUGAAGUAAAUUUUAUCAUUUAGAGGAAGGAGAAGUCGUAACA
rnacentral:rRNA from 1 species